AACGAACGCUGGCGGCAGGCCUAACACAUGCAAGUCGAGCGAGGACUUCGGUUCUAGCGGCGGACGGGUGAGUAACGCGUGGGAAUGUGCCCUUCUCUACGGAAUAGCCCUGGGAAACUGGGAGUAAUACCGUAUACGCCCUAUUGGGGAAAGAUUUAUCGGAGAAGGAUCAGCCCGCGUUGGAUUAGGUAGUUGGUGGGGUAAUGGCCUACCAAGCCGACGAUCCAUAGCUGGUUUGAGAGGAUGAUCAGCCACACUGGGACUGAGACACGGCCCAGACUCCUACGGGAGGCAGCAGUGGGGAAUCUUAGACAAUGGGGGCAACCCUGAUCGAGCCAUGCCGCGUGAGUGAUGAAGGCCUUAGGGUUGUAAAGCUCUUUCAGCUGGGAAGAUAAUGACGGUACCAACAGAAGAAGCCCCGGCUAACUCCGUG
rnacentral:rRNA from 1 species